rnacentral:piRNA from 1 species
UAUAAACCGUUGUGAUUGAAGAGCCAG